GAUUUCAAUUGAAAAAGUCAUCAAUAACAAGGUUGUAUAACUCAUCAAGAUCUGUAACUUCUAUUUUGGUCAUUGGGUCAUCCAACGAGGUGAUUUGUAAGAUUGUUCACGAAAUGCACAUCUCUUAUAUAAAAACUUAUAUAAGAGAAUGCACAUCUCUUAUAUAAAAACUUAUAUAAGAGAUGUGCAUUUUGUGAACAAUCUUACAAAUCACUUUGUUGGAUGAAAAAAUGACCAAAAUAGAAGUUAUAGAUCUUGAUGAGUUAUACAACUUUGUUAUUGAUGGCUUUUUCAAUUGAAAUC
rnacentral:pre_miRNA from 1 species